rnacentral:misc_RNA from 1 species
GAUGAAGAACGCAGCGAAAUGCGAUAAGUAGUGUGAAUUGCAGAAUUCAGUGAAUCAUCGAAUCUUUGAACGCACAUUGCGCCCCUUGGUAUUCCAUGGGGCAUGCCUGUUCGAGCGUCAUUUGUACCUUCAAGCCUUGCUUGGUGUUGGGUGUUUGUCUCGCCUCUGCGCGCAGACUCGCCUCAAAACAAUUGGCAGCCGGCGUAUUGAUUUCGGAGCGCAGUACAUCUCGCGCUUUGCACUCAUAACGACAGCGUCCAAAAGUACAUUUUACACUCUUGACCUCGGAUCAGGUAGGGAUACCCGCUGAACUUAAGCAUAUCAAUAAGCGGAGGA